UCUCGGUGGAAGCUGAAUUAGUGAGGAUGACUCCUGCUCCUGUCAUCUCUAAGCUCCUCACACAUCUUUACCUGCACAUGAGGAAAAUCACUCCUGUAGGAUGCAGAUGUUCAGAGGGAGAUGAUGCCACAUCUGGUCCAGCCGAUGGAAGGUCUUGAAGUUCUCUGACUGGCCUCGACUGAAGAUGGUCGUCUCACUGGAUUUAAGGUUCAGAUGCUCAGUAACAAACUCCACCAAUGAGCCAACAGGGAAGCUUUAGGUUUAUUAAAUGUUGCUAUGAAGGUUUCACUGUUUUUCUUUGUGAAUGCAAUGUGCUCCAACUGAAACUUGAAUUAGAACUUAGAAGUAAAUCCUUCCAUCUGAAAGGAUUUAGUUGCAUUAAUAACCUCAUAACAUUCUAAUUUUUAUUCCAGUCUUGGUUGGAAAUAGAAUCUCUGUAUUGAUUCAGGUAAAAACUGAACUUCACAGCAUGUUGAAGCAAAACAACCAGAUGAAAACUGUGAUGGUGUUGGAUUGUCAGACUGUAAUGUUGCAGCUCAAAGCAGCUUUUCUAUCUCAGUUCAUUCUGACAUUCAGCUAUGAAUCAACACAGCAGAUGGUGAUCCAUGCUGUGGAAGUCUCACAUCUCCUGAUUUAAUGGAGCUGCUUUGCACUUUUUACACUGUUUAUUCACCAACACUUUAUUUAAUAAAAGUCCCAUCUAGUUUUUA